rnacentral:rRNA from 1 species
GACGAACGCUGGCGGCGUGCUUAACACAUGCAAGUCGAACGGAAAGGCCUGCUUUCCCUUGUGGAUUGCGGGUACUCGAGUGGCGAACGGGUGAGUAACACGUGAGUGAUCUGCCCCCAACUUGGGUAUAAGCCUGGGAAACUGGGUCUAAUUCCCGAUAGGACUGCAGGGUGGUGCCUGUGGUGGAAAACGAUUUUCUAGUGGUUGGGGAUGAGCUCGCGGCCUAUCGGCUUGUUGGUGGGGUAAUGGCCUACCAAGGCGGGGACGGGUAGCCGGCCUGAGAGGGUGGACGGCCACAUUGGGACUGAGAUACGGCCCAGACUCCUACGGGAGGCAGCAGUGGGGAAUAUGGCACAAUGGGCGGAAGCCUGAUGCAGCGACGCCGCGUGGGGGAUGACGGCCUUCGGGUUGUAAACUCCUUUCGACCGCGAGGAAGCCACCUGGUUGGAAGGGUGGUGACGGUAGUGGUAGAAGAAGCACCGGCUAACUACGUG